rnacentral:rRNA from 1 species
GCGAGUGAAGCGGGAAGAGCUCAAAUUUAAAAUCUGGCGGUGUAUUCCGUCCGAGUUGUAGUCUAGAGAAGCGUCAUCCGCGCUGGACCAUGUACAAGUCUCUUGGAACAGAGCGUCAUAGAGGGUGAGAAUCCCGUCCUUGACAUGGACUCCCAGUGCUUUGUGUUGUGCUCUCGACGAGUCGAGUUGUUUGGGAAUGCAGCUCAAAAUGGGUGGUAAAUUCCAUCUAAAGCUAAAUAUUGGCGAGAGACCGAUAGCGAACAAGUACCGUGAGGGAAAGAUGAAAAGCACUUUGGAGAGAGAGUUAAACAGUACGUGAAAUUGUUGAAAUGGAAACGCUUGAAGUCAGUCGCGUUCUCUGGGAUUCAGCCUCGCUUCUGCUUGGUGCACUUCCUAGUCUACGGGCCAGCAUGGAUUUCGACCGAUGGAAAAAGGCUUGGGGAAUGUGGCACCUCCGGGUGUGUUAUAGCCCUUUGUCAGACACGUCGGUUGGGAUCGAGGACCUCAGUGCACGCUUCGGUUGUGCUUUGAUGCUGGCGUAAUGGCUUUAAACGACCCGUCUUGAAACACGGACCAAGGAGUCUAACAUGUCUGCGAGUGUUUGGGUGGAAAACCCGAGCGCGUAAUGAAAGUGAUAGUUGGGAACCUCUCGCGA